UUAAGCGACUAAGCGUACACGGUGGAUGCCCUGGCAGUCAGAGGCGAUGAAGGACGUGCUAAUCUGCGAUAAGCGUCGGUAAGGUGAUAUGAACCGUUAUAACCGGCGAUUUCCGAAUGGGGAAACCCAGUGUGUUUCGACACACUAUCAUUAACUGAAUCCAUAGGUUAAUGAGGCGAACCGGGGGAACUGAAACAUCUAAGUACCCCGAGGAAAAGAAAUCAACCGAGAUUCCCCCAGUAGCGGCGAGCGAACGGGGAGCAGCCCAGAGCCUGAAUCAGUAUGUGUGUUAGUGGAAGCGUCUGGAAAGGCGCGCGAUACAGGGUGACAGCCCCGUACACAAAAAUGCACAUGCUGUGAGCUCGAUGAGUAGGGCGGGACACGUGGUAUCCUGUCUGAAUAUGGGGGGACCAUCCUCCAAGGCUAAAUACUCCUGACUGACCGAUAGUGAACCAGUACCGUGAGGGAAAGGCGAAAAGAACCCCGGCGAGGGGAGUGAAAAAGAACCUGAAACCGUGUACGUACAAGCAGUGGGAGCACGCUUAGGCGUGUGACUGCGUACCUUUUGUAUAAUGGGUCAGCGACUUAUAUUCUGUAGCAAGGUUAACCGAAUAGGGGAGCCGAAGGGAAACCGAGUCUUAACUGGGCGUUAAGUUGCAGGGUAUAGACCCGAAACCCGGUGAUCUAGCCAUGGGCAGGUUGAAGGUUGGGUAACACUAACUGGAGGACCGAACCGACUAAUGUUGAAAAAUUAGCGGAUGACUUGUGGCUGGGGGUGAAAGGCCAAUCAAACCGGGAGAUAGCUGGUUCUCCCCGAAAGCUAUUUAGGUAGCGCCUCGUGAAUUCAUCUCCGGGGGUAGAGCACUGUUUCGGCAAGGGGGUCAUCCCGACUUACCAACCCGAUGCAAACUGCGAAUACCGGAGAAUGUUAUCACGGGAGACACACGGCGGGUGCUAACGUCCGUCGUGAAGAGGGAAACAACCCAGACCGCCAGCUAAGGUCCCAAAGUCAUGGUUAAGUGGGAAACGAUGUGGGAAGGCCCAGACAGCCAGGAUGUUGGCUUAGAAGCAGCCAUCAUUUAAAGAAAGCGUAAUAGCUCACUGGUCGAGUCGGCCUGCGCGGAAGAUGUAACGGGGCUAAACCAUGCACCGAAGCUGCGGCAGCGACGCUUAUGCGUUGUUGGGUAGGGGAGCGUUCUGUAAGCCUGUGAAGGUGUGCUGUGAGGCAUGCUGGAGGUAUCAGAAGUGCGAAUGCUGACAUAAGUAACGAUAAAGCGGGUGAAAAGCCCGCUCGCCGGAAGACCAAGGGUUCCUGUCCAACGUUAAUCGGGGCAGGGUGAGUCGACCCCUAAGGCGAGGCCGAAAGGCGUAGUCGAUGGGAAACAGGUUAAUAUUCCUGUACUUGGUGUUACUGCGAAGGGGGGACGGAGAAGGCUAUGUUGGCCGGGCGACGGUUGUCCCGGUUUAAGCGUGUAGGCUGGUUUUCCAGGCAAAUCCGGAAAAUCAAGGCUGAGGCGUGAUGACGAGGCACUACGGUGCUGAAGCAACAAAUGCCCUGCUUCCAGGAAAAGCCUCUAAGCAUCAGGUAACAUCAAAUCGUACCCCAAACCGACACAGGUGGUCAGGUAGAGAAUACCAAGGCGCUUGAGAGAACUCGGGUGAAGGAACUAGGCAAAAUGGUGCCGUAACUUCGGGAGAAGGCACGCUGAUAUGUAGGUGAAGUCCCUCGCGGAUGGAGCUGAAAUCAGUCGAAGAUACCAGCUGGCUGCAACUGUUUAUUAAAAACACAGCACUGUGCAAACACGAAAGUGGACGUAUACGGUGUGACGCCUGCCCGGUGCCGGAAGGUUAAUUGAUGGGGUCAGCGCAAGCGAAGCUCUUGAUCGAAGCCCCGGUAAACGGCGGCCGUAACUAUAACGGUCCUAAGGUAGCGAAAUUCCUUGUCGGGUAAGUUCCGACCUGCACGAAUGGCGUAAUGAUGGCCAGGCUGUCUCCACCCGAGACUCAGUGAAAUUGAACUCGCUGUGAAGAUGCAGUGUACCCGCGGCAAGACGGAAAGACCCCGUGAACCUUUACUAUAGCUUGACACUGAACAUUGAGCCUUGAUGUGUAGGAUAGGUGGGAGGCUUUGAAGUGUGGACGCCAGUCUGCAUGGAGCCGACCUUGAAAUACCACCCUUUAAUGUUUGAUGUUCUAACGUUGACCCGUGAUCCGGGUUGCGGACAGUGUCUGGUGGGUAGUUUGACUGGGGCGGUCUCCUCCUAAAGAGUAACGGAGGAGCACGAAGGUUGGCUAAUCCUGGUCGGACAUCAGGAGGUUAGUGCAAUGGCAUAAGCCAGCUUGACUGCGAGCGUGACGGCGCGAGCAGGUGCGAAAGCAGGUCAUAGUGAUCCGGUGGUUCUGAAUGGAAGGGCCAUCGCUCAACGGAUAAAAGGUACUCCGGGGAUAACAGGCUGAUACCGCCCAAGAGUUCAUAUCGACGGCGGUGUUUGGCACCUCGAUGUCGGCUCAUCACAUCCUGGGGCUGAAGUAGGUCCCAAGGGUAUGGCUGUUCGCCAUUUAAAGUGGUACGCGAGCUGGGUUUAGAACGUCGUGAGACAGUUCGGUCCCUAUCUGCCGUGGGCGCUGGAGAACUGAGGGGGGCUGCUCCUAGUACGAGAGGACCGGAGUGGACGCAUCACUGGUGUUCGGGUUGUCAUGCCAAUGGCACUGCCCGGUAGCUAAAUGCGGAAGAGAUAAGUGCUGAAAGCAUCUAAGCACGAAACUUGCCCCGAGAUGAGUUCUCCCUGACUCCUUGAGAGUCCUGAAGGAACGUUGAAGACGACGACGUUGAUAGGCCGGAUGUGUAAGCGCAGCGAUGCGUUGAGCUAACCGGUACUAAUGAACCGUGAGGCUUAACCUU
rnacentral:rRNA from 1 species